CAUAUUUUUAAAUUUUGUGGGACCUAAAAAGCUACUAAUUUCUGAUUUCUUUUUAAUUUAAAAAAUGAUAAACGUAACAAGAUAUUUCAACUGAUUACAAUGAGAACCUCUGUGUUUUCUAAAAAGUUAAUCUUCUUGAGCAUCUAUCCACCACAACCUAUUCACUGUAUUGUUGGUUGUCUACUUACAAUGCUUAAUUCGAGGACACAGGCAAGGCUUUCGAUAUACCUUAUUAGAAGGAUAGUUGAAGUGCUAAAAUAACUCACCAGUGAUGGUCUCAGCGUCCCUGGUGGUGGCUGGAGUAGGAGUAAGAGGCUGUGAUAUUCUGUUUCUGGAUAAUCUAAG